UGUUUCAGGGGAUUUUCAAGGCCAUGUCUGAUAUUGUAAAAACACAUGGCAGAGUGUGUGGGUAUUAUUUUGGCCGUAAACCAAGAGUGUUGAUAGCAGACCCUGAUAUGCUCAGACAACUGAUGGUCAAGGACUUCAGUAACUUUUGUAACAGAACGAUGUUUGGCUAUACCACCAAGCCCUUUGAGGAUUCUCUGCUCUUACUGAUGAAUGAACGAUGGAAGAGAGUUCGGAGCAUUAUUACCCCAACAUUCAGUGCUGCCAAGUUG